rnacentral:rRNA from 1 species
GAUCCUGGCUCAGAUUGAACGCUGGCGGCAGGCCUAACACAUGCAAGUCGAGCGGUAACAGAGACUAGCUUGCUACUUUGCUGACGAGCGGCGGACGGGUGAGUAAUGCUUGGGAACAUGCCUUGAGGUGGGGGACAACAGUUGGAAACGACUGCUAAUACCGCAUAAUGUCUACGGACCAAAGGGGGCUUCGGCUCUCGCCUUUAGAUUGGCCCAAGUGGGAUUAGCUAGUUGGUGAGGUAAUGGCUCACCAAGGCGACGAUCCCUAGCUGGUUUGAGAGGAUGAUCAGCCACACUGGGACUGAGAC